rnacentral:pre_miRNA from 1 species
CUUGUACUCCCUCCGUCCGAAAAUACUUGUCAUUGAAAUGGAUGUAUCUAGAUGUAUUUUAGUUCUAGACACAUCCAUUUUGAUGAUAAGUAAUUCCGGACGGGGGGAGUACUUG